AUCGCUUCUCGGCCUUUUGGCUAAGAUCAAGUGUAGAAUGCAAUUGGGGAAAAAGAGACUUACUUAUGUCCAUUGAAAUUUGAGUGCUUUUGUCAUGGAACUUGACAAGCAGAUUCUUCAAUCUGUGUCCAAGACUAAAAUUUCAAAUGUAGCCAAAAUAAUUGGGAACACUUA
rnacentral:snRNA from 1 species